AUGAGAGUUCUAGAAUGUGUGUUCCUCCUGGCUCUCAUCUCAGCUGUUCAGGGACAGUCACUCACCUCUGAGCCAGUGGUGAAGAGCCCUGGAGAGUCAGUAACACUGUAUUGUACUGUGUCUGGAUUACCCCUGAGCUGGUUACACUGGAUCCGUCAGAAACCAGGGAAAGGACUAGAGUGGAUUGGCCACAUUGACACUGGCACUAUAUUUGCCCAGUCUCUACAGGGCCAGUUCACCAUCACCAAAUACAGCUCCAAAAACCAGCUGUACUUAGAGGUGAAAAGGCUGAAGACUGAAGACUCUGUUGUUUAUUAUUGUGCCAAAGACAGUGACAAAGAAGCCUGCAUCGCCAUGCAAAAACGGGCAAUAAUGCGUCACCAUGUGAUCAAGGGCGGUGCUGUUGCCAUACCAAAACGUGAUGCAGACAAUCUAGAUGCUCUCAUAUAG